GACGGAGGAUGCAAGUGUUAUCCGGAAUGAUUGGGCGUAAAGCGUCCGCAGGUGGCAGUUCAAGUCUGCUGUCAAAGACCGGGGCUUAACUUCGGAAAGGCAGUGGAAACUGAACAGCUAGAGUAUGGUAGGGGCAGAGGGAAUUCCUGGUGUAGCGGUGAAAUGCGUAGAGAUCAGGAAGAACAUCGGUGGCGAAGGCGCUCUGCUGGACCAUAACUGACACUCAGGGACGAAAGCUAGGGGAGCGAAUGGG
rnacentral:rRNA from 1 species